GUAGGAGAGCGGGGGAUCGCCGGCGGUAUUUAUGGCCGCGGGAGGAAAGUCCGAGCACCAUAGGGUAGGAUGCCGGGUAACGCCCGGUCGGGGAAACCCGGAGGAAAGUGCAACAGAGAGUAGACCGCCAGGUCCUUUGGGACCUCUCAACGGUCGGGUCACCCAUCCCAUUGGGCGCGGGAGGCUUCGGCGAUUGAGGGGGGUAGAUGAUACCCUCGGUAAGGGUGAAAGGGUGCGGUAAGAGCGCACCGGCGUCGUCGGUAACGGUGGCGGCCAGGUAAACCCCAUCCGGUGCAAGAUCAAAUAGAGGAGCGUUAACCAGCUACCCGCUGUAGCUUCUGGGUAGGUCGCUUGAGGUGUUUGGUAACAACCACCCUAGAUGAAUGAUUCUCGCCGUUGUUCAGGCGACUGAACAGCGGAACAGAACUCGGCUUACAGCCUCCUCGGACC
rnacentral:RNase_P_RNA from 1 species